rnacentral:rRNA from 1 species
GUUAAGCGACUAAGCGUACACGGUGGAUGCCCUGGCAGUCAGAGGCGAUGAAGGACGUGCUAAUCUGCGAUAAGCGUCGGUGAGGUGAUAUGAACCGUUAUAACCGGCGAUUUCCGAAUGGGGAAACCCAGUGUGUUUCGACACACUAUCAUUAACUGAAUCCAUAGGUUAAUGAGGCGAACCGGGGGAACUGAAACAUCUAAGUACCCCGAGGAAAAGAAAUCAACCGAGAUUCCCCCAGUAGCGGCGAGCGAACGGGGAGGAGCCCAGAGCCUGAAUCAGUGUGUGUGUUAGUGGAAGCGUCUGGAAAGGCGUGCGAUACAGGGUGACAGCCCCGUACACAAAAAUGCACAUAUUGUGAGCUCGAUGAGUAGGGCGGGACACGUGGUAUCCUGUCUGAAUAUGGGGGGACCAUCCUCCAAGGCUAAAUACUCCUGACUGACCGAUAGUGAACCAGUACCGUGAGGGAAAGGCGAAAAGAACCCCGGCGAGGGGAGUGAAAAAGAACCUGAAACCGUGUACGUACAAGCAGUGGGAGCCUCUUAAUGGGGUGACUGCGUACCUUUUGUAUAAUGGGUCAGCGACUUAUAUUCUGUAGCAAGGUUAACCGAAUAGGGGAGCCGAAGGGAAACCGAGUCUUAACUGGGCGUUAAGUUGCAGGGUAUAGACCCGAAACCCGGUGAUCUAGCCAUGGGCAGGUUGAAGGUUGGGUAACACUAACUGGAGGACCGAACCGACUAAUGUUGAAAAAUUAGCGGAUGACUUGUGGCUGGGGGUGAAAGGCCAAUCAAACCGGGAGAUAGCUGGUUCUCCCCGAAAGCUAUUUAGGUAGCGCCUCGUGAAUUCAUCUCCGGGGGUAGAGCACUGUUUCGGCAAGGGGGUCAUCCCGACUUACCAACCCGAUGCAAACUGCGAAUACCGGAGAAUGUUAUCACGGGAGACACACGGCGGGUGCUAACGUCCGUCGUGAAGAGGGAAACAACCCAGACCGCCAGCUAAGGUCCCAAAGUCAUGGUUAAGUGGGAAACGAUGUGGGAAGGCCCAGACAGCCAGGAUGUUGGCUUAGAAGCAGCCAUCAUUUAAAGAAAGCGUAAUAGCUCACUGGUCGAGUCGGCCUGCGCGGAAGAUGUAACGGGGCUAAACCAUGCACCGAAGCUGCGGCAGCGACACUAUGUGUUGUUGGGUAGGGGAGCGUUCUGUAAGCCUGUGAAGGUGGCCUGUGAGGGUUGCUGGAGGUAUCAGAAGUGCGAAUGCUGACAUAAGUAACGAUAAAGCGGGUGAAAAGCCCGCUCGCCGGAAGACCAAGGGUUCCUGUCCAACGUUAAUCGGGGCAGGGUGAGUCGACCCCUAAGGCGAGGCCGAAAGGCGUAGUCGAUGGGAAACAGGUUAAUAUUCCUGUACUUGGUGUUACUGCGAAGGGGGGACGGAGAAGGCUAUGUUGGCCGGGCGACGGUUGUCCCGGUUUAAGCGUGUAGGCUGAUUUUCCAGGCAAAUCCGGAAAAUCAAGGCUGAGGCGUGAUGACGAGGCACUACGGUGCUGAAGCAACAAAUGCCCUGCUUCCAGGAAAAGCCUCUAAGCAUCAGGUAACAUCAAAUCGUACCCCAAACCGACACAGGUGGUCAGGUAGAGAAUACCAAGGCGCUUGAGAGAACUCGGGUGAAGGAACUAGGCAAAAUGGUGCCGUAACUUCGGGAGAAGG